CCCCGGAGCAAUGGCGAGUAAUUCCAGCGGAAUUUCACUCAGUCUCAUGAAGUCUUAUUAGCUGGACCCGCGGACGUCAACAGAGGUCCUUGUGUCUGUAAUAUGGCAGAUGUGUGGUGCCACCAAGGGCCCACUUUUGGACACAGACAGUCGUCCGUCCACAUCUUCUCGGUGCAUGUCUCCUUCUACACAAAUGGACCGCACUGUUUGACUCCGGAUAAUCAGCUUAACGUACAGAGUGGCUUUACUUGAACCUACACAGGUUUUGCUUUUUUUAAUUUCACAAAUUAAACGGCCGGUUCAUAAAUGUGCCUAAAUACACACGGACGUUAUUUCAUUCAUAAAGUACAAAACCACGGAGCUGGGAAGGUGUUUUGAGCGGGACAAUAUUCGGUAAUCAAUCACUCGAACUGCUGAUUAGUGACACUUUUUUUUUUUUCUUGUUAACGGUCCGUGUCCACAUUUCACUGAAUUUCCUCCCCCACAAGGUCACGGAGGAAAACCUGUCGGGUGCCCGAACUCCGAAAUGAAACACCCGAGUCCGCCUUCGGUGUCCUCAGAUUUUUCCAUACACAAAGAGUACAAAAGUCCACCCGGGGUUGGGGACACGAUCUGCAGCUCUGUACACAAACCUGACGCUCGGUCGCUCGGGGUGAAGGUGCAAAGGAACUCUUGAUUGACUGGGCCCUCUCAGCUAGGUGGCAUGAUUGCACGCUCAAUUACAGUACAUGAAUGCAGAACGAUACAAGGAGGACGAUAGCGAGGGUGCAUAUUAUUAGUAUAACGUCAGGGAUCCGUGGGGGUGAAUGUUAAAGUACUUUCUGAAAAGUGUUUUCUUUCUUUCUUUUUACAUGUUGAAGACCAGUGGGAAACAAAAAGGGGGGAAGGAGAAAAAAGAAAAACGUUCUCUCCGGGGUAGAAACGAAAGCAGCACUUGAAACGCACGGCUGUUGCCCACAGAACCGAAAACAAGACGGCGCGGGCA